AUUUUUCCAAUUUGACUAUUCUGGUCUGAGUUCUACCAUUCAGUUGUUAAACCGUUAAGUGAAUCCUCCGUGCCCCUUUAACAAAGUCACCCGAUCGACAGAUUUUAUUACAUUUUAUGUGCAGACAGAAGGCUUGUACAAUACUUUUCAUUAUUCCAGCUUUGGGCUUCUUAGCUGGGCCUUAGUUAGGCGAGAGCUCUCCCCUGUGACGGAAAA